GAUGGAGGGGGAUAACUACUGGAAACGGUAGCUAAUACCGCAUAACGUCUCAAGACCAAAGAGGGGGACCUUCGGGCCUCUUGCCAUCAGAUGUGCCCAGAUGGGAUUAGCUAGUACGUGGGGUAACGGCUCACCUAGGCGACGAUCCCUAGCUGGUCUGAGAGGAUGACCAGCCACACUGGAACUGAGACACGGUCCAGACUCCUACGGGAGGCAGCAGUGGGGAAUAUUGCACAAUGGGCGCAAGCCUGAUGCAGCCAUGCCGCGUGUAUGAAGAAGGCCUUCGGGUUGUAAAGUACUUUCAGCGGGGAGGAAGGCGAUAAGGUUAAUAACCUUGUCGAUUGACGUUACCCGCAGAAGAAGCACCGGCUAACUCCGUGCCAGCAGCCGCGGUAAUACGGAGGGUGCAAGCGUUAAUCGGAAUUACUGGGCGUAAAGCGCACGCAGGCGGUCUGUCAAGUCGGAUGUGAAAUCCCCGGG
rnacentral:rRNA from 1 species